rnacentral:sRNA from 1 species
UUCCCGCACAAAACGGGUGAAGCCCGAAG